rnacentral:lncRNA from 1 species
CCAUUGCUCCAUCAGUGAACUCCGACAAAAAAAAAUGAUGCUAGCGACAGCAAAUCGCCAUGGUCACGCCUGAAAAAAUUUGGAAGAGCUUCAGAAUUUUUGAAUUUGCUAAAAAACAGAUCUUUCAAAGAUCCGUCUAGGUACAUGUUUUAAACUAUUGUUACCUCUGUCCUUCAACUCUGUAUGUCUCUUUGAAUAACUUUGGAGAAUCAUUGAUGUUUGCUUGUUCUUCGCUGAUUAAAGAUUAUGGAUUAUUAUGUGUUUUUAUGUUGCAAUUUUGUACUCUUAUCUCAUGUUCUUGUGUUCAAGUUGUAUGUUUGAAUGGGGUUUACAGUGAGGACGUCAUUAUCUUCCAUCGUUAUGUUUUAGAGAUUAUAACAUGACUUUAGAUCAAUGAAUUAAUUAUGUCCUCAUUCUGAGAUUUUUGGAUCUGAUUUAGGAUUCGUGGUAUAAGAAUAUGAUUAACUUAUAUUUGUUUUCGUCUAAUUGAAUUAUUAAAUCCUUGACUAAUUUGAACAACUUUUCUUUAUGGACCGAGCUUCAGUCAGCCCCUCAUUUAAAUUGUUCCAAUUUCUUUUUCAUUCCAUGUUUAGGCUAAUCACUUUUCCGUUUCGUCUAAGACUACUUAUUUUGUUUGAUACUAAUACUUUUUAUUUGCUCCUAAUUAAUUUUUUUCUUGACUUAUAUAAAUUUGAUUUGAUUUUUACUCGUUCUUGCUAUGGUAAAAGAUUACUACAAAUUAAUAUGUGAACGUAAAUCUCGUCACCGGAUUUGAUCAGUUUAAUUAUCCUUUUGCUUGUUUAGGAUUACCUCUUCUAUUUUUCCUGGUUUCACAUAAUUUUAAUUUAUGGGUUGCUUUAUUGAUCUCUCUUGUCUUAGUUAAAAUUCAGACAGAUUCUUAUUUAAUUACUUUUGGUAAAAAUUCUAUUGAUUUUAAGAAAUGUUUGUACUAAUUUACUCUUUAGUAGUUUAAGGAAACAAUAUUCCAGGAAUUGCUCCUGGUAAUUCUUUUCCCUUUUUACUGUUUGGCCCCUUAUUCAUUAUAGAAAGAGAUUUCCCCUCUCACUCUUCUCACACUUUAACAAGCACAAAACUGAUAUUCUCCAAAAGCAAUACAAUUUCCUUCACAAAUCACUUGUCAAAAGUUCAUCUCUAUUCGGUUUAUUAUUUAAAGUUGGACUCCUGAUCAAGCUUACUUUUGUUGAUUAACUAUCUCCUUAAUUGAUUAAUGUUCUUCCUUAAGUUAUUUUAUGUCUUGCAUUAGUGUACCAAUUUAUUUGGUAUAAUCUAUAAUGUUUAAAAGGAAGCGCUCAGAUUAGUCUUAUUCCUUAUUGCGUAGUAUGUUUGCAUGCUUUAUUAUGUUCAAAUAAAUAAAAGGAGGCAUCCGGGUCAGUUUUCAUCCCUUCUCUCUGUGUGUUAUGUUAUCUUUAUUGUUUUACUACAUGUUAAAGUUUUGUGUGUCUGCCUUUGAUUUAGUUUGUAUGUGCUGAUUCUAUAUGAAAUAAUUAUUGCCAUGCGUGUCCUUUGUUAUUAUUUGUGAUGUAUUGUCCUGUUUGAUUAACAACUUUUUGAACAUGACUUCAAAAGGAUGAAGAGUUUGUCGGGCAAGGGGAAGUCGGGAUGUCGCUAUUUUAUCAUUAUUUUAGUCGUUUGUUUAUAUAUUUAUUUUAUUUCAUUAUCUCUAUUGGGUUGUCAUAAUUGUUUUCUAGCUCUCUCUAUAUAUAUGAAAUAAUUUGGAGGACUGUAUAAACGGGUGUAACACCUCGUAAAUCAGAAGUUGAUUUAGUUGGAAAAGUUUAGAAAAUGUUGCACGACUCUUAUGCUAUGGAUCAACCUACAGGUCGUAGAUCUCCCUAUGAGUCAUACGAAGGGUCUCACGGACAUCAGGUAAGAUUUUUGGGAAAUUUAAGUUUCAGAAGUUUGACCUAGGAGUACUUAAAAAGACGAACGAUAGAAAUUUGGACGAGUCGUAGAUAGGUUAAUUAGGAAGGCUCUACACUUGGUGAAAUUUUAGACUCUGGCUUGUGUUCUACAAAAAGGGUCUACUGACGAUAGAUAAAACAAUGGAUCGUAGGAUGGGUUCAUGGACUGUAAGAAGAUUUUGGGGUUUCUGAAGUAUGUUCUAUGGUUGACUAGUAUAGACCAUAGAAAGUUCUAUCGACCAUAAGUCCAAAACAUAGACCGAGUUGGGCAUUUAUUUAUUAAAGGUAUUUGGGUCUUUUCCAAUGCAUCUAAUAUCUAUACUACGCCAUUUUGACCAUAAUUCUAAGCCUUGUAACUACUAUUCUAUUCCAAACUAACUCAAAUAUCUCAUUCUCUCAAAACCCAAAAUUCUAUCUGCGUUAAUCCUCUCCAAAUUCUCACAAGCUCAAGGAAGAUCAUCUAGAGCUUCAAGCAUGAAGUCUGCUUUUUUAUUUUUCCCAUUAAUUUUGAGCUUUGUUUUUCAAGGUUUGGGGGAUUUCACCAAUGGAUUUCAUUCCUCCAUUGUGUCCUCAAAGAUUUCUAUGUUUCUAAUUCAAUUUCACCUAAAUUGAUUAAGGUUUCAUGUAAUCUACAUGGGUCUUGCUUGAUUUUGAUUUAAUUACGCAAUUUCAAUGUUCUCAUGCAUGAAUUUAUAAAAAAACAUAAUUUCUAAUUAUUUUUUCUAUAAAACCAAUGCUUCUUUCGAACAAACAAUACUGAGUAAUCCAUGGUGAGAUACUUAGUCUAAUGAUUCUUUUAUUCAAUAAGUUUUUCAACUGAUUCAUUAAUUUCAUAAGUUCUGUCAGGGCCAUACGAUAAGGAGGAAUAGAGAUAAGCUACUAUGGGAGAAGGUCAAUAUCGAAGCCUAUUUCACUUUCGGGAGGAAUACCAAGAAGAUCAUUAGGAAACACUUUUGGAAACUCAUUUACAAUCAGAACUUACUAACGAGUAGGGGUUUCAGAAUAUGUAUCCCUGAACCCGAACAAGAUGAUAAAUGAAACCCUUAGAAAUCAUUUUCCUAGUGUUUAGGUAAGAUAUAAACUGACCCUUAAAAGUAUAAUAUCCCCUUUCCCAUGACAUGAUAGGUUCAUUCAGAACCUUGAAGGUGACCAAUCAAGUCCUACAAUCUAUAGAGACAUAACAUGCAUGAAGCCAAUCCAUUCUAAGAAUAAUACCAAAUAUGAUAAAUCAAGUUCUACAAGGUCAACAUGAGUGACUAUGAAAAACAAAAAUAGGACAAUAUCACCAACGAGAGUGGAGACAUGAAAGAGAUUAGAAAGGAUUUCAAGACCUACAUCGAAUAUUAUGGAUGUGCACAUAAUGAGUAAAAAAUUAUAAUGUAGCACUCGAAUCAAGUAAAGAAUAAAUAUUAAGGCGAAAGACUUUCAACACAGCAGUCACAACAUCAUGGGAACCCUAGUGAUCCUGUCGAGUCUAAAGAAUAUAUAAUUUGUUUUUCUUCGAAACACCUAUAUCGAAAACAUUAGGUUGAGCUUGCCUACGAUCCCUUCCUUUAUUAGCAAGAAAUGAGAAAUUUAUCACUUGUGACCAUUCCUUCCACAAGUAAAGCAACCAUCCAUACCGGCCAAUCAGUUGCCAUCAUCUUUCCGGCCACACCUAUUGCAAGUAGUUAUAAAAAAUCCACAACCUUUACCUCUUUGAGGUUUACGAUUAGACACCCUAUCCUUGUUUAACUUAGAGGUUGAAUAAAUAGAAGAACCUUGACCGAAAAACCAUUGUGAGAAUUUAGAAUGACCAUGUCCAUCGAAUCCUGAAUGGGAAAAGUCGCCAUCACCGAGCCUUUCCUACUUAGACUCCAUAGACCUCUCCUUUAGUUUUUCCUCUUUGAGUUGUAGGGCAUGUAUAACUUAAUAGAAGUUAUUCAUCUCCUUGAUUUGCAUGGCGCUUCGACAUUCUUUAACAACAAAAUCAAAAACACCUGACAUGAACUUACUAAUAUUUGCCCUAGAGUUGUCAACCAUAGCCGGUGCAUACUUAGCCGAUUGAGUGAAUUUGAAAGCAUAUUCCUCCAUACUCACAUUGCCUUGAAAGAGAUUAAUGAACUCAAACACUUUUUCUUCUCACAUUUUAGGAGGAAAGAAACGAUCAAGAAAAGCUCCUUUGAAUUUUUUCCAAUCAAAAGGACCCGCAUCAAUAGCCCUUUCUUCCUUUCAUUGGUCAAACCAAACUUGAGAAACACCUUUGAGUUGGAAUGCUGCCGAUUCCACCUUCCAUCGUCGACACUUCCAUAAUUUGAAGUAUCCUAUAGACCUCAUCAAUGAACUCUUGGGGAUCCUCAUCAACCUUAGAACCAUAGAACUCUUGAAGAUUCACCCUAGUAAAGUCCCUUAUAUUUGUUGCCGUUGUACCCACAUUUGGGUUCAUGAGAGCAACCUUAUUUCUAUUAGCUUGGACCAUCACAACUUGAGCCAACACUUAGAAAGCAACUCAAAAUUUGGCAUGAGUCACUUGCUCGGCCAAAGGAUUAGCCAGAACUGCAGAAACCUUGGGCUCCAUAUUCUCACUCGCAUUCCCUCUUAAAAAACCUCUUCCGGGAGCCAUUCCUGAAAAACAUCGAAUAAGAGUUAGGAGAAGGACCCUUAUAGAGAUGAAAUCUAUGACACUACUUUAAUUUAGAGUAGUGAAAGAAGUGAAUUUUCCUUAACGCUUUGUAUCCUCAUGUUCAUAAAUAUGGUGUACUUCACACUUAUGAACAAGACACUACUCAACACGGCAUGUGUUACAUAAGAUGUCUAACAAGCUGCUUUGAGUAGAGUUUUGUUCAUAACUGUGAAGCACAUCACAUUUAUAAAUAAGAGGUUACAAUGUGUUUAGGAAACUUCACUUCUUUCACUACUCUAAAGUUGUGCCAUAGAAGUCCUCUUUACAAAAACCCUCCUCCUAAAUCUUAUUCGAUGCUUUUCAAGAUAUGGCUCCCUGGAGAGCUUAUGUGAGAAGGAAUGUGAGUGAGAAUGUAAAGCCCGGGGUUUCUCAAGUUCCAGUUGAUCUUUUGCUGAGCAAGUGACUCAUGCAAAAUUAUUAGCCACUUUCUAAGUGUGGGCCUAAACUAUGAUGACCAAAGAAAAUAGAGAAGUCGUUUCUCCCCUGAACCAAAAUGUGGGGACGACGACAAAAAUGAUAAAGGACUUUAUCGGGAUGAAUCCUCUGAAAUUUCAUGGGUCAGAAGUUAAUGAGGAUCCUCAAGAGUUCAUUGAUGAGUUGUAUGAGAUAGUGGAGAUUAUGGGAGUGUCACCGGUAGAAAAGGUGGAAUUAAUCGCUUAUCAACUUAAGGGUGUUUCUCAAGUUUGGUUCAAAAAAUGGAAGGAAGAGAGGAAUAUUGAUGCGAUCCUCUUUAUUGUAAGAAAUUCAAAGGAACAUUUCUUGAUGAUUUCUUUUCCUUUGAGAUGAGGGAAGGGAAUGUGCUUCAGUUCAUUAAUCUUUGACAUGGAAAUAUGAGUGUGAAAUACGCUUUGAAGUUCAUUCAAUUUUCUAAGUAUGCUCUGAUUAUGGUUGUCGGCUCAGGACCAAUGAUGAGUAAGUUUGUGCCUAGUAUGUCUGAAAUGGUAGGGAAAGAGUGUCAUACCACCAUCUGGAUCAAGGAGAUGGACAUCUCUUGGUUGAUGACCCACGCACAACAAAUUAUUGUAAAAAGCUAAAGGAGAACUCUAGAGAGGCAAGAAGGCAAAGACUGGUGAUGGUGACUUUUCCCAUUUGAGGUCCUGUGGGAGUGGUCGUUCUAUAUUACAGCAAUGGUUUUCCUGUCAAGGUUAUUCUAAUGCUCCAACUUCUAAGUUCAACAAGGAGGAUAUGUCUAACCCAAAACCUCAAGGAGGUAAUGGUGGUGGAUGUUUUAUGACUACUUGCACUAGUUGUGGCAAGAAACAUGAUGUCAAAUGUAUGAUCGGUACAAAUGGUUUCUUUAGUUGCGAGGAAAGUGGUCACAAAAUGAAAGAUUGUCCAUUGCUUUCUACUAAUGGAAGAUAUGGUAGGAAAGCUCAGCCUAGAGGUUCUAGUUUGAGUUCUCCAAAGCAAAACAAAUUCUAUGCACUUCAAACUCUAUAGGAUUAUGAGGGUUUUUCGCAUAUUGUGAUCGGCAUGUUGAAAUUCUUUCAUAUUGAUGUGUAUGCUUUACUUGAUAUGGGUGAUAUGUUAUCAUUUGUUACUCCUUAGGAGGCCAUGCGAUUCGAUGUUGGUCAUGAAAUUAUUUUUAAUUCCUUUCAUGCCUCUACUCUCAUUGGUGAUUCUUUUAUUACGAAUAGAGUUAAUAGAAAUUUUCCUAUUUAUAUUUCUCAUAGAGUCACUCAUGUUGAUCUUGUAGAGAAUGAUAUGUUAGAUUUUGAUAUUGUUCUUGGGACGCAUUGGCUUGAUGUAUGUUAUGCUUACAUAAACUGUAGGACUUCAUCAGUCAAAUUCAAGGUUAUGAAUGAACCUAUCAUGUCAUGGGAAGGGGGAAAUUAUGUUUUUAAGCGAUAGUUCAUAUCUUACCUAAAAGCCAGAAAAAUAAUUUCUAAGGGUUUCAUUUACCAUCUUGUCCGAGAUAGCAAUACAGAUUACAAAACCCCUACUCUUGAGUACGUUCCAAUUGUAAAUUAGUUCUCAUAAUUGUUUCCCAAUGAUUUUCUUGGUAUUCCUUCCAAAAGGGAAAUUAUGUUCUUAAGGGUUAGUUCGUAUCUUGCCUAAAAGCUAGGAAAAUGAUUUCUAAGGGUUGCAUUUACCAUCUUGUACGGGCUAGCGAUGCAUAUUACAAAACCUCUACUCUUGAGUACGUUCCGACUAUAAAUUAGUGCUCAAAAGUGUUUCCCAAUGAUUUUCCUGAUAUUUCUUCCAAAAGGGAAAUAUAGUUCAAUAUUGAUCUUUUCCUAGGUAUGAAGUUUAUCUCUAUUCCUUCUUACUUAAUCGCCCCGGAAGAACUUAAGGAAUUAAAGAAUCAGUUGAAAGACUUAUUUGAUAAAUGAUUCAUUAGAUCGAGUAUCUCACCAUAUGGUAUUGCGGUAUUGUUUGUUCAAAAGAAGGACGGUUCCUUCUGAAUGUGCAUUGACUAUCGACAAUUGAAUAUGGUUAGCAUAAAGAAUACAUAUACAAUUCCAAGGAUUGAUGAUUUAUUUGAUAAACUCCAAGGUGUUAGUUUUUUUAGAUUGACAUUCGAUCGGAAUAUCACCAAUUAAUAGUGAAGAAAAAUGACAAUCUAAAGAUGACUUUUUGAACCAUGUCUUAUUAUUAUGAAAUUUUAGUAAUGUCUUUUGAUUUGACUAAUGCCCUGGUGGUGUGUAUAGAUUUCAUGAAUAGGGUCUUUAAGCAAUAUCUCGACAUGUUUUGUAAUUAUGUUUAUUGAUUAUAUUUUGAUUUACUCACUUAUCAUGUUUAGCAUUUAAGGAUUGUGUUACAAGUUCUCAAGGAUAGUGAAUUGUAUACUAAGUUUAGCAGGGGUGAGUUUUGGUUGAGGUCUAUUACUUUUCUUGGCCAUAUUGUCUCAUGUGAAGGUUUUCAAGUCGAUCCUAAAAAAUCCGAGGUGGUUAUGAAUUGGCCUAGAUAUAUGUAAACUUUAGAUAUAUAGAGUUUCUAGGGUUAGCCGGUUAUUAUAGAAGGUUUGUGGAAGGAUUUUCCUCUAUUACUUCACUUUUGACGACAUUGACUUAAAAGAACGUUAAAUUCCUAUGGUCGGAAUCUUGUGAGAAGAGUUUCCAAGAGUUGAAAGAUAGCCUCACUUCAACCCCUAUAUUUAUAUUACCUGAAGGAUCUGAUGUCUUUGUAGUGUAUUGUGAUCCUUCAAGGAUUGGUCUUGGUUCUGUUUUGAUGCAACAUGGGAAGGUAAUUGCUUAUGCUUCAAGGCAAUUGAUCAAUGUGCACAAAAGGAAUUAUCUGACUCCUGAUUUGAGUUUUGCGGUGGUAGAGUUUGCUCUAAUGAUUUAGAUACAUUACCUAUAUGUUGGUUAUGUAGAUGUUUACUCACCACAACAGUUUAAAAUAUGUUUUUACUCAAAAGAAAUUGAAUCUUCAUCAAAGAAGUUGGCUUGAGCUAUUGAAGGACUACGACAUGAGUAUCCUCUAUCAUACAGAUAAAGUGAUUGUGGUGGCGUCUGCUCUUAUUUGACUAUCGAUGGGUAAAUGUUGCACAUGUUGAUGAUGGUAAGGAGUUAGUCUAUUUUGACAAUAAUUCUAAACCUUGUAACUAAUGUUCUAUUUUUAAAACUAGCUCAAAUGUCUCAUUCUCUCAAAACCCAAAAUCCUAUCUACAUUCAUUGUCUCCAAAUUCUGUCAAGCUCAAAGAAGAAUACCCAGGGUUUCAAGCUUCAAGUCUCUUUUUUCUCCAUUACUUUUGGGCUUUGUUAAUCAAGGUAUGUGGGAGUUCACUAAUGGAUUUCAUUCAUCCACUAUGUCAUAAAAGAGAUCUAAGUUUCCAAUUCAACUUCAUCUGAAUUGAUUAGGGUUUCAUAUAAUCUACACGUGUCUUGCUUAAUUUUUUAUUAAUUACAUAAUUUCAAUCUUCUCAUGCAUGAAUUGAUUAAACCACAUGAUUUUAAAUUGAUUUUUCUAUAAGACCUGAUGAAAUUCUAAAGAAGCUUGCAAAAUUAUGAAGUAUGAUUUAGAGAAGUUAUGCAUUAUUAUGAAAGUAAUGUUUAUGAAUUAAGGAUUAUUAUGAGAUAUGUAGCAAAGAAUGGUGAAAGGUUUUUCUCACAUACUAAUGCAAUCAUGAUUGUGAAAGGUUUUCUCACAUAUGUAUGAAUAAGUAUUUAAAGUAGCUACUCUAUGAUGAAUUAAGAAUUGGAUUGGAAGUCUAAAUUGUGUCUUUCCAAGUAUGAUAAUAUAAAUAUGUUUAAGACUAAAUCCAUUGAGAUUUUACUUUGCACCGAGAGGACGUUGAGAUGAAGGCUCUCUCGUUAGUAAAGGACAUGUCUCUAGUAGCAAUCCCUUUGUCUCUAACUACGUGCCUAUAUAGGAUUUAUCUUAGAAACAUAUAGCUAAUGGAUCCAGCUUGGCUAGAAGUUUAUGGUCCUUACCUUGGAUAGUAGGACAUCUCUUUUUGAUGUGAGAGCAAGACACCGACUAAUAGUAAACAUCCCACAAAAUGAACCAAUUUACAUUAAAGGUUUCUAUGAAGCUUUCAAUAUGUUUUAAGAUGCAUUGAUCAUGUUUAUGAAUUUGAUUCCUUUAAAGGAUUUUACUUUUUUUUAGUUUGGUCAUGCAUAUAAUGUUGUAAUGUUCUCAUAUACUCAUGAUUCAUGUCUUUAUGCAUUUCCCCAUACUUAGUACAUUUCAUGUACUGAUGCAUACUUGUGCCUACAUUGUUUGAUAAUGUAGGGACAAGAUCUUCUCCUCCUUUCGCUCGUGACUAGCUGAUUGCUUGUUUGUUGAAGACUUGGCGAAUCCUCAUAUUCCGAGGAUUGUGUCACCUUUACUAUGCUUUCUUACGUCCAUAGUUUUCAAAUUUUGUAUGUGGUGUAUGGUUUUGUGUCUACUACUUUUUUGAUGUAUUGGAUAUUCUUGUGAAGACUAUGAUUAGACUUCUGCUCAUUUGUUAAACUCUUCUUUGAUAUGAGACUUUCAACUUAAAUUCUACUUUUUAACGAUUAUAUUAUAUUGUAUGUAUGACAAGUGGUUGGUGUAGGGCUUCUCAGGGUCCUAUAUCACGUCUAGGGUGUACUUUGGGUCAUGGCAAUCUUGGGUAUCAGAACACAAGGUUUUAGAAAAGGUCCUAGGAUGGCACAAUCCAAAGUAUACUCUAAAUGUGACAUGAAUAUAAGACCCCGAGAGGCCCUACACAAGCCACACGAUAUACAUACAACCCAAUUUAAUAGAAAAUAUGAGAAAUUGAGCAAUAGGUCCCAUAUCAUGAAGGAGUUGGACAUCAGAGUGGAAGUCUACACAUAGUCUUGAAAAACUAAUCUAACAUAUCCAAAGAAAUGGUCGGGACGUAACCCGUACCCCACGUACAACAUUUGAAAACUAAAGACAUAAGAAAAUAAUACUAAUGGUGUCAUGGUCCUUGGAUCAUGAGGACUCACUAUGUUUUAAUGAUCAAGCAAUUAACUAGCUACGAAUGGGAGUAGGAGAAAUGUCAGACCCUACAUUAUGAGACAAUGUAGGCAUAAGUAUGCAUCAGUACAUGGAAUGUACUAAGUAUGAGGGAUAUGCAUAAGAACGUAAAGCAUGAUCUUAAGGAGACGUAAAGGAAAAUAUGAUAUGUAUGACCAAGCUAAAACGUAGUAUGCUUUUAAAGAAGGAUCAUAAAUCAUGAACAUGGUCAAUGCAUAUUGAAAUCAUAUGGAAAGAUUCAUAAAAACCAUUGAAGUAACUUAGUUUAUUUUGUGAGAUAUUUACCAGUAAUCGACAUAGACCACAUAAGCUAAAAUGUGGAAUCCGGUGUCUUGCUCCCAUACCAAAAGGAGAUAUCAAAUUUUCCAUGGAAAGGACCUUAAACUUGUCUCUUAGGUGGAUCCACUACCUAUGUAUUUAUAAGACAAAUUCUGCGGGGGCACGUAGAUAGGGACAAGCAAAUUGUUACUAGAGACCCGAUCUCUACUAACGGGAGAGCUUCCAUCUCAACAUCCUCGCGGUGCUAAGUAAAAAUUCCAAUGGAAUAGUCAUAUUCCUAAACAUAUCAUCAUACAUUGAAAAGGAAAUUUAAGUUAUUAGCCCAUGUUUAAAUCAUCAUGGGGAAGCUCCUUAAAUCAUGAAUCAUGUGUGUGUUAGAAAACCUUUCACAAUUUCAUUGAUACUUAUCUUAGAAGCAACCUUAGAUCAUAACAUUUAUUUUUAUAAAUCAUGCAUAAACUUUCAUAAGUCAUAUUCUAAAAUUCAUAAAUUCAUAUUUUCGUAAAUGCUUAUCUUCAUAAGUUCAUAGUCAAAAUCAUGAAUAAUGCAUGGGGCGUGUAGAGAUUUAUUGGAAAUCAUAUAAUUCAAUCAAAACAUGCAUAGGAAUAUUGAAAUUGAACAAUUAAAUCAACAUCAAUUAAGACCUAUGUAGAUCACAUGAUACCCUUCGUAAUUUAGAUGAAAUUGAAAUAGAAACUUAGAAAUUCCUUGGGACCCAUUGGAUGAAUGAAAUCCAAUGGUUAGAUCGCACAUAUCUUGAUGAUCAAAACCCAAAUCAAUGGAUGAAUAAGGAGACUUGAAGCUUACACCCUAGAUUUCUUCCUUGAACCAAAGAGAAAAUUGGAGAGGAUGAACUUGGAUGAGAUUUUGGAAUUUGAAAGAAUGAGAGGGUGUGGGUAGAUUUAGGAAUAAAAAGGUAGUUAUAUGACUUAAAAUUAGGGUGAAAACAAGUAUAUGCAUUAAAUACAUAGUACAAUACCAAAAUACCCUUAUGAAUAACUAUUAGAGUGAUCCAUGGGUUGAAGCUGCGGUCCGUAGAACUUUCUACGGCUCGUACGGGUCAACUGUUGAACCAACUUCAGAAACCCAAAAAUCCAAUCAUUUCCCUUGAGACCUUUCUACGGUCUAUUGAUUAUUCUACAGUCUGUAGAAUAUAAAUUCAAUUCCAAAAUUCAGAUAAGUUUGAAUCCUUUCAACGAAAGACAUCUACGACAUGUAGUCCAACCAAUGACCUGUCAUGUUCACUCGUAGAUAGAACUUCUGAAAGUUGAAUUUUUCCUAAUCUCAACCUUAUUCUUACGAGUGCCAUCUACGACCCGUGAAAGCUUCUACUAAGCGUUGGCUGGUCUCGUAGGAUACAAUGAGUAGCCAAAACAUGAAGUUCUUUCCUUUUCCAAUUUCUGAGGUGUUACGUAGGAUAUAUGACAAGUUGUUUUGAGUACAUAUAUUUUUGAAGACCCUAUUUAUCAAAUAUAUGAAUGCCUCUUGUGAAUUGGUCAAACCAAAAGACAUCACCAAGAACUUAUAAUGAUCAUACCUGGUUUGAAAAGCCGUUCUUGAAAUGUCAUUUUCCUUCACCCACAAUUAGUGAUAACCUGACCCAAGGUCGAUCUUGGAUCAGAAUUUGCACCUUAGAGUUGACCAAUAAAGUCUUCUAUUAUUGGAAUAAGAUACUUAUUAUGUAUCGUAACCUUAUUCAAUUGUCUAUAGUCAAUGCUCAUUCAUAAGGAACCGUACUUCUUUUGAACAAACAAUGUCGGAGUACCCCAUGGUGAGAUACUUAGUCUAAUGAAUCCUUCAUCCAAUAAGUCUUUUCAAAUGAUCCUUUAAUUUCUUAUGUUCGAUCACGUCCAUACGAUAAAAAGGAACAAGAUAGGCUAUGUAUUUGGGAGAAGGUCAAUAAUGAAGUCUAUUUCCCUUACAAGUGGAAUUCAAGGAAGAUCAUUGGGAAACACUUUUGGAAAGUCAUUUACAAUUAGAACUUACUCAUGAGUAGGGGUUUCAAAAUCUGUAUCCCUAACCUGAACAAGAUGAUAAAUGACACCUUUAGAAAUCAUUUUCCUAGUCUUUAGGUAGGAUAUAAACUGACCCUUAAGAACACAAUUUUCCCUUUUCCAUGAUAUGAUAGGUUCGUUCAAAUCCUUGAAGGUGACUAAUUGGGUCCUACAAUCUGGUAAGUGAUAACAUGCAUGAGGCCAAUCCAUUCCACGAAUAACAUCAAAAUCUUACAUAUCAAGAUCUACAAGAUCAACAUUAGUGACUCUAUGAGAUACAAAAAUAGGACAAUUUCUAUAAACUCUCUUGACGACAACAGAAUCACCAAUGGGAGUAGAGACAUGAAAGGGAUUAAAAAGGAUUUCACAACCUACAUCGAAUAUUAUGGCCACUUCAGGAGAGAGAAAUGACAAUGUAGCACCCAGAUCAAGUAUAGAAUAAACAUCAAGGUAAAAUACUUUCAACAUACCGGUCAUAACAUUCAGAAAACCCUCAUGAUCCGAUCGAGUCUGAAGAGCAUAGAAUAUGUUUUUCUUCGAAACACCCAAAUCGGAUACACUAGGUUGAUAUUUCCUACCAUUCCUUCCUUUAGUAAAAUGUAAUGGGAAAUUUCUCAUCUGAUGGCCAUUAUAUCCACAAGUAAAGCAACUAUCUAUAUCGGCCAAACAUUUUGCAUCAUGUUUCCUGCCACACCUAGUGCAAGCAGUUAUAAAAGAUCCACAACUAUUAUCUCCUCGAGGUUUAGGGUUAGACACCCUAUCCUUGUUGAACUUAGAGUUUAAGAAUUAGAAGAACCUUGACAAAAAACCAUUGCAAGAAUUUGGAACGAUUAUGUCCACCGGAUCUCAAAUGGGAAAAGUUAGCAUCACCGGUCCUUGCCUUCUUAAACUCCCUAGAUCUCUCCUUUAGCUUUGCCUCUUUGAUUUGUUGGGCAUCAUUAAACAAAGGAUAUACAUCUUCAUUAUUCGCAUGGUGGUUUCGCAUUCUUUAACAACUAAACUGGAAAUACCUGACAUGAACUAACUCAUCCUUACCCAAGAGUUGACAACCAUAGUCGGAGUGUACUUAGCCAAUUGAGUGAACUUCAAAGCAUACUCCUUCACACUCACGCUACCUUGAUAGAGAUUAAUGAACUCAAGAACUUUUUCUUCUCACAUUUCAAGAGGAAAGAAACGAUCAAGAAAAGCUCCUUUGAAUUUCUCCCAAUCAAGAGGGCCCGUAUCAAUAGACCUUUCUUCCUUUCAAUGGUUGAACCAAACUUAAGAAACACAUUUGAGGUUGUAAGCAACCAAUUCUGCCUUUUUUACCGUUGACACUUCUAUAAUCCCCAACAUCUUACAGAACUUAUCAAUGAUCUCUUGGGGGAUCCUCAUAAACUAUGGAACAAUGGAAAUCUGGAAGUUUAUCCUAGUUAAGUCCCUUAUCCUUGUAUUCUGCAUACCUAUAUUUGAGGUCAUGGGAGCAAUGACUUCUCUAUUAGGUUGGACCAUCAUAGGUUGAGCCAACAAUGGGAAGGUAACUCAGAAUUUGGAAAGAGUCAUUUGCUCGGCCAAAGGAUCAACUGAAACAUGAGAAGUAUGGGGCUUCAUAUUCUCACCUGCAUUCCUUCUCACAUAAGCUCUUCAGGGAGCCAUAUCUUAAAAAACAUCGGAUAAGAGUUAGGAGAAGGACCCUGAUAGAGAUGAACUCUAAUGCACGACUUUAGAGUAGUGAAAGAAGUGAAUUAUUCUAAAUGUUUGUAGCCUCCUAUUAUGGCACACUUCACACUCAUGAAAAGGACACUACUCAAUGCGGUUUGUGUCACACAAGAUGUCUAACAAGCUGUUUUGAGUAGAGCUUUGUUCAUAAGUGUGAAGCGCGCCACAUUUAAAAAUAAGAGGUUACAACGCAGUUAGUAAAAUUCGCCUUUUUCACUACUCUAAAGUCAUCCCAUAGAAGUCAUUUCUGUAAAAGCUAUCCUCCCAAAUCAUAUAUGAUGCUUUUCAAGAUAUGGGUCCUCGAAGAGCUUAUGUGAGAAGGAUAAUGGAUGAGAAUGUAAAGCCCGAGGUUUCUCAAGUUCCGGUUGAUCCUUUGGCAAAACAAGUGACUCAUGCCAUAUUAUGAGCCACUAUGUAAGUGUUGUCUCAAUCUAUAAUGACCUAAGCAAAUAGAGAAGUAUUGCUCCCAUGAAACCAAGUGCGGGGAUAACGACAACAAGGAUAAGGGAUUUCACUAGGAUGAAUCCUCUGGAAUUUUAUGGGUCGAAAGUUAAUGAGGAUCCUCAAGAGUUCAUUGAUAAGUUGUAUAAGAUAAUGGAGAUUAUGGGAGUGUCACAUUUAGUAGAUGUGGAAUUAUCCACUUAUAAACUUAAGGGUGUUUCUCAAGUUUGGUUCAAACAAUGGAACGAAGAGAGAGUUGUUGAUGUGGGUCAUCUUGAUUGUAAGAAAUUCAAAGGAGGAUUUCUUAAUUGUUUCUUUCCCCUUUAGAUGAGGGAAGGUAAGGUGCUUGAGUUCAUUAAUCAUUGACAAGGAAAUGUGAGUGUGAAGAAAUAUGCUUUGAAGUUCACUCAAUUGGAUAAGUACACUAUGAUUAUGGUUGCCGACUCUAAGUCAAUGACUAGUAAGUUUGUAUCUGGUGUGCCCGAAAUGGUAGUCAAAGAGUGUCGUACCGCCAGAUGACCCACACCCAACAAAUUGAUGAUAAAAAACUAAAAGAGAAGUGUAGAGAGGCAAGGACCGGUGAUGGUGAAUUUUCCCAUUUGAGGUUCGGUGGGCAUGGCCGUUCUAAAUUCAAGAAAAGGUUUUCCGGUCAAGGUUUUUCUAAUGCUCCAACCUCUAAGUUCAGCAAAGAUAGAGUGUCUAACCUUAAACCUCAAGGAGGUAAUGGUGGUAGAUCUUUUAUGACUACUUGCACUAGGUGUGGAAAGAAACAUGAUGGCAAAUGUUUCUCUGGUACGAGUGGUUGCUUUAGUUGUGGGAAAAGUGGUCACAAGAUGAGAUAUUGUUCGUUGCUUGCUACUAAGGGAAGACAUUGUAGCCAAGCUCAGCCUAGUGGUUUGAGUUUGAGUGCUCUAAAUCAAAACAAAUUCUAUGCACUUUAAACUCGAUAAGAUUAUGAGGGUUUAAUAGAUUUUAUGACCGAUACAUUGGAAGUCUUUAAUUUUGAUGUGUAUGCUUUACUUAAUUAAGUUUCUACAUUAUCAUUCGUUACUCCUUAUGUGGAAUGAGAUUCGAUGUAGGUCUUGAAAUCCAUUCUAAUCCAUUUCAUGUCUCUACUCCUAUUGGUGAUUCUAUUACUCCUAAAAAGGUUUAUAGAAAUUAUCCUAUUUUUGGUUCUUAUAGAGUCACUUAUAUUUUGAUAUUAUUUUUGGGAUGGAUUGACUUAAUGCAUGUUAUUCUUCCAUAGACUAUAGGAACCGAUUCGUCAGAUUCAAGGUUUCGAAUUAACCUAUUAUGGCAUGGGAAGGGGAAAGUUAUGUUAUUAAGGGCUAGUUCAUAUCUUGCUUAAAAGCCAUGAAAAUGUUUUCUAAGGCUUGCAUCUACCAUCUUUUUCGAACUAUGGAUACAUAUUCAAAAAAUGCUACUCUUGAGUAAGUUCCGAUUGUAAAUGAGUUCGUUGAAGUGUUUUCGAAUGAUUUUCCUUGUAUUCCUCCCAAAAGGGAAAUAGACUUCAGUAUUGACCUUCUCCUAGAUAUGCAGUUUAUCUCUAUUCCUCCUUACUGAAUGGCCCCAGUAGAAUUUAAGGAAUUAAAGGAUCAGUUGAAAGACUUAUUGGAUAAAUGAUUCAUUAGACCAGGUAUCUCACAAUGUGGUACUUUGGUAUUGUUAGUUUGAAAGAAGUAUUGUUCCCUCUGAAUGUGCAUUGACUAUCGGCAAUUGAAUAAGGUUACCAUAAAUAAUACAUAUCCAAUUCCAAGGAUUGAUGAUUUAUUUGAUCAACUCCAAGGUGCUAGUUUUUUCUCCUAGAUUGACCUUCGAUCGGGUUAUCACCAAUUAAACGAAGAAAAAUGACAAUCCAAAGAUGACUUUUUGAACCAUGUAUGAUCAUUAUGAGUUUUUAGUAAUGUCUUUUAAUUUGACUAAUGCCCUGGUGGUGUUUAUAGAUUUGAUGAAUAGGGUCUUUAAGCAAAUUCUCGAUAUGCUUUGUAAUUAUUUUUAUUGAUUAUUUUUUUAUUUAUUCACGCAAUAAGGAUGAACAUGUUUAGAGUUUAAGGAUGGUGUUACAAAUUCUCAAGGAUCAUGAAUUGUAUUCUAAGUCUAGAAAUGGUGAAUUUUGGUUGAGGUAUGUUUCUUUUCUUGGCCAUAUUGUCUCUUGUGAAAGUACUUAAGUCGAUCCUAAAAAAUCCGAGGAGAUUAAUAACUGGCUAGAUAUGUGUCCACUUCAGAUAUACAGAGUUUCUGGGUUUAGCAGGUCAUUAUAGAAGGUUUAUGGCAGGAUUUUCCUCUAUUACUUCACCUUUGACAACAUUGACUUAAAAGAAGGUUAAAUUCAUAUAGUUGGAAGCUUGUGAGAAGAGUUUCUAAGAGUCGAAAGAUAGACUCACAUCAUCCCCCAUAUUUACAUUAACGGAAGGAUAUGAUGUCUUCGUAGUGUAUUGCGAUGCUUCAAGGAUUGGUGUUGGUUGUGUUUUGAUGCAACAUGGGAAGGUCAUUGCUUAUGCUUAAAGGCAAUUGAAUGUGCACGAAAGGAGGUAUUCGAAUCUUGAUUUGGAGUUUGCAGUGGUAGUGUUUGCUCUAAUGAUUUGGAGACAUUACGAAUAUGUUGGUUAUGUAGAUGUGUUUACCUACCACAACAGUUUGAAAUAUCUUUUCACUCUAUAAAAAUUGAAUCUUUGUCAAAGAAGACGUUUUCAAAUAUUGAAGGAUUACGACAUGAGUCCUCUAUCAUCCGGAUAAAGUGAAUGUGUUAGCGGAUACUCUUAUUCAACUAUUGAUGGGUAAUGUUGCUCAUAUUGGCGAUGGUAAGAAGGAGUUAGGUCGUUUUGACCAUAAUUCUAAGCCUUGUAGCUACAGUUCUAUUUUAAAAACUAGUUCAACUCUCUCAUUCUCUCAAAAUUUGAAAUCCCAUCUACAUUCAUCCUUUCCAAAUUCUCUAUAGCUCAAGGAAGAAUAUCUAGGGUUUCAAGCUUCAAGUCUCCUUAUUCUCCCUUACUAUUGGCCUUUUUUUUAUCAAGGUAUAUAUGAGUUCACCAAUGGAUUUCACUCAUCCAAUAUGCCCUAAAAGAUUUCCAAGUUUCAAAUUCAACUUCAUCUAAAUUGAUUAGGGUUUCAUGUAAUCUACAUGGGUCUUGCUUAAUUUUAAGUUAAUUACACAAUUUCAAUCUUCCCAUGCAUGAAUUGAUUAAACCACAUGAUUUCCAAAUGAUUUUUCUAUAAGACCCAUGCUUUUAUGAUGAAUUUAUGAAGAACCUUGCAAAAUUAUAAAGUAUUAUUUAGCGAAGCUAUGCAUUAUUAUGAAAGCAAUGUUUAUGAAUUUUGGAUGCUUAUGAGAUAUGUAUCAAAGAAUGGUGAAAGGUUUUUCUCACAUACUUAUGUAAUCAUGAUUGUGAAAGGUUUUCUCACAUAUUUAUGAAUCAGGAUUUAAAGGAGCUACUCUAUGAUGAAUUAAGAUUGGACUGGUAUUCUAAAUUGUGUCUUUCCAAGUAUGAUGAUAUGAAUAUGUUUCAGACAAAAUACAUUGAGAUUUUACUUAGUACCGAGAGGAAGUUAAGAUGAAGGCUCUCCCAUUAGUAAAGGACGGGUUCUCCCUAACUGCGUGCCAAUGUUGGAUUUGUCUUAGAAAGAUAUAGCUAAUGAAUCCACCUAAACUAGAAGUUUAUGGUCCUUAACUUUGAAAGAAGGACAUCUUUUUUAUUGUGUGAGAGCGAGACACCAGAUUCCACUUUAGAGCUCACUUGGUCUAUGGGGGCUAGUAGUAAACAUCCCACAAAUUGAUCCAAUUUACAUUAAAGGUUUUUAUGAAGCUUUCAUUGUGUUUUAUGAUUCAUUGAUCAUGUUUAUGACUUAUAUUUCUUUUAAAGGCUUUUACUAUGAUUUAGCUUGGUCAUGCAUAUCAUGUUCUAAGAUUCUCAUAUACUCAUGUUUCAUAUUUGUAUGCAUUUCUCCAUACUUAGUAGGUUAUAUGUACUAAUGCGUACUUGUGCCUAAUUUUUUUAAUAAUGUAGGGUCGGACGCUUUUCCUCUUCCCGGUCAUGCCUAGUUGAUUGCUUGAUUCUUCAAGACUUGGUGAGUCCUCAUGUUCUCAGGAUCGUGUCACCAUUAUUAUGCUUUCCUGUGUCUUUAGUUUUCAGAUGUUGUACAUGGUGUAUGUGUUACGUCCCAAC